UAAAAUGUGCAUAGCAGAAUGUUAACAGACGCUGCCUUUAGGGAGAGAUAAAAAGCAUAAUGACAUUAGAUGGUGGCCUUAUGCUGUUGUCUCUGGAAGAUCUCCGGCUGUGAGGAAGUCCCUCUAACUUACAACCUGCUCAAGUGCCUCCUAGAUAAAGCGCACUGUGUACUCCUGACAUCUUGUGGUUACAUCUUUUCCUUGAUCAGUCCAGAAAUUCUCAAACUCACUUUAAUCACUUUGCAGAUCCUCUUAAUACUCAAAAAUCUACACUUACUGUGGCUGACAGUUUCAAGCAGAUGUGUUCAUCGCAGUAGUGCAAGAAAAGAAAAGUAGAAGAACCCUGCAGAGAUUUGAUGGAACCCAGCUUCUAUUCAUUAAAACCAAUGGCAAAAUAUAAAGCAAAUAGGAGGUGACGAAGGUUACAAAGAUACGUAUUGUUUAUGUUUUCCCUGGGGUGUGCUGAUUGUCAGGCAUCAGUUCCCUGUGCCAUUCAUUCCCCAACACAGCAUGCAUCAGAAAUUUUAUCAAUAAAUGCUUUCUCUCUCAAUGUUCAACCUAUGCUGAUAGACCAUUAAAUACAGUUUUUGGGUUCACAGCUUGUCAUCAUCAUUUGUCUAUACCUGUGGCAAAGAAUAUCUAAUAAGAUACUCUCAGCAUUUUGCACACUUAAACUAAGAUGCUGAAUGCUGUAUUUUACGGAAUAAUCAGCCACAUUAAAUUUGGAGACUCAACAAGCAUGCUGUGAACAUUCAACAUUAGGUUUAAAUUUUAUUUUUAAAAGUUAAUAAUAAAAGGAUAUAUGUUAAGUAUUAUGAAACCCUGCAUAUAUUGUAAUAAAAUGGUGGAUGUGAAUGGACAAUAUAUGCAAUAAAAUUUAUAAUUUGA
rnacentral:lncRNA from 10 species